rnacentral:rRNA from 1 species
GACGAAGGAUGCAAGCGUUAUCCGGAUUCAUUGGGUUUAAAGGGUGCGUAGGAGGGCAGGUAAGUCAGUGGUGAAAUCUCCAAGCUUAACUUGGAAACUGCCGUUGAUACUAUCUGUCUUGAAUAUUGUGGAGGUGAGCGGAAUAUGUCAUGUAGCGGUGAAAUGCUUAGAUAUGACAUAGAACACCAAUUGCGAAGGCAGCUCACUACUCAAUCAUUGACUCUGAGGCACGAAAGCGUGGGGAUCAAACAGG